rnacentral:rRNA from 1 species
GACGAACGCUGGCGGCGCGCUUAACACAUGCAAGUCGAACGGAAAGGCCUGCUUUCCCUUGUGGAUUGCGGGUACUCGAGUGGCGAACGGGUGAGUAACACGUGAGUGAUCUGCCCCCAACUUGGGUAUAAGCCUGGGAAACUGGGUCUAAUUCCCGAUAGGACUGCAGGGUGGUGCCUGUGGUGGAAAACGAUUUUCUAGUGGUUGGGGAUGAGCUCGCGGCCUAUCAGCUUGUUGGUGGGGUAAUGGCCUACCAAGGCGGCGACGGGUAGCCGGCCUGGGAGGGUGGACGGACACAUUGGGACUGGGAUACGGCCCAGAGUCCUACGGGAGGCAGCAGGGGGGAAUAUGGCACAAGGGGCGGAAGCCUGAAGCAGCGACGCCGGGGGGGGGAUGACGGCCUUCGGGUUGUAAACUCCUUUCGACCGGGAGGAAGCCACCUGGUUGGAAGGGUGGUGACGGUAGUGGUAGAAGAAGCACCGGCUAACUACGUG